GCUCRCAGGUGGUUGGGUCCAACAGAACCCGUCGAAACAACAUGAGCUCUGUGGAGGAAUUCAUCCACCGCCCCUGAACCUGCACAGGUUCUCCCUCCAGAGAGAGGACGAUCAGACGCUUGGACCACCUCAGCUGAGGGUCUACUGAUGGAAAGAAUGUAGACUGAUCAGUCAAUCAAGAGCUCCUUCAUCACGUCAGACUGGACCGACUGUCUUGUUACUGCGAACAAGGUUUGGGUUGGUUUCUCUAUCCUUCCAUGCCUCAUGAAUAAAACUCAGAGGAUCAAACUCUUCCUCUUGAGGCAGAGACUCGUCCCCAACCUGGA